rnacentral:tRNA from 2 species
GCGGAUAUGGUUGAAUGGUAAAAUAUCUCCUUGCCAAGGAGAUGGCGCGGGUUCGAUUCCCGCUAUCCGCC